UUGUGUCAUCAUCAAGCCUGAAAACCUUCCAGCCUUUCCCAAACCAUCUCCACUCAACUCAGCCUGCCCUGACCAUUCCAGCUGCUACUACUGCCCUCUCUUCUCAAUUUUUUCACCUAACAAGAACUGACUUCUAGUUAAAAAAUAAAUAAGCCAUGGAGAUGCAAUAUGCAACAUGGGCCUUGCAUUCUGGCUGCCCAGCUGAUGGAUUUCAAUGAAUGUUGACUAGCUUGCUGAAUGAAGGAAGAAAGGAAGAAAGGAAUAUUGAAUGAAGAAUGGGGACAAUGUAAAACACAGCUGCUGGAAACUCAGAUGUUGCUCAAAGCCUGAAGCACGUAAUGACUCGGUGAUGACAAACAGAAAAUUCUUGCUGGCGAGGAGACAGUAGCGGCGACACGCUUCCCGGGGCGUGCUCACUAUAGCUGAAAGACUGAUCUCACCUCGGAAAGUGAGACAAGGGAACAGAAAACAAGCAUGGAAGACACAUUAAAUCUCAGCUGGCUAAAUGGACACGUGGACAUUCGAGGUUUAAAAACAACGACUUUGACUUACUGCAUACUUCCCAUGUAUGUGCGCUUCCCCCAUUUCUUCUCAGCUUGUAUUUACAUCACUAUGAGGAAUCAAGAAAUGCUUCAAGAAGGAGGAGAUAAUUAAGCUGAGCCUUGAAGGACUUUCUGAGCAGAGAAAGAGGAUAAGUUAUUAAAAUACAUAGUGCCUUGGACCCAAGGGCAUCAAGGGUAGGACUUUCAGACUUCUGGUCCUUCAGUGUUCUUCAAUCAUCUAAAACAGCAAGACAUUGUGGGUGCUUUGCAAGUAUCUUCCAAAGAGCUUCUUUCACCCAAACACUGAGUCAUCAAAAUAUCUCACUAGGUAUGGAGAUGGACUAGAAUUUAUUCAGCUGUAACUAUAAUCCAGCUAAUUAACAACAGCAUUUUUUUAUGUCAUGCCAACCUCACAAGCAAGGUAUCAUGUUCUCCGUCCGAGGGUCACCAAGCAUGUACGUACACAGAUAGAACUCAGCUCAACAAGGCUCCAAAGCUCCUGUCUUUCCUCCAUAAUAUAGCUGAGAGAGGCAAAUAAUCUCGCAAAUUCUGGAUGCACAACUGGUGUAAACCAAACUAAAUAUGCUAUAGUGCCUCACUCAAAAGAAAAGGUGUGAGUAAUCAUUGGAUCAUAAAAGAAGAGAGGCCAUUUCUUCAGGAAGGUGAUGCCAAUGAACUUCAAGAAACCCCUCACACUGGCAGUGCCUCUAUUAAAGAAGACUCUGGGUUUAGGAUUUCUAAGAUAUUAAAUUCAUUUUUUUUCUUUAAAAUGAUCCCUCUAAGGAAAUAAUUCCUACAGUGGGGAAUACAUGGACUUGAGAAUCAGACAGACUUAAGUUCUAAUUCUGGGUUCGAUCCCUUCCUAGCUGUGGACCUAAUCAGGUUAUUCUCACCUCAGAUUAUUAAUAAGCAGCAGUUUCCAACCAUCUGAAAGAUAUAAUCACCCCACAGGGCUGACUCAAGCUUAGAGUAAGAUGACCAUAUGACUAACACGGGUCCUGGCCUCUGGUCAGCCACCUCAAAGUGUUAGCAGCCUUCCUCUUACACAUCCUUUGACCAUUGGAAAGAUAAUGGUUCUUCAUUGCACAUUUUUCACUUGACUCAAAGUGUUAGGCUCCCUAAACUUUUUUUUUUUUUUUUUCCAGUUGGGAUGUAUAAGGAGAGGCUCCUCAGUCAGAUAAUGAUUCAUGCAAUUGUGUCAAGUUAGACUUGGGAAAUCAACCUCUGACCUCAAACUGAAGACGGCUUCUCAGAAGCGUCUCUCCAGAGACUGAUCAACAGGAGACUGUCCUGCCUUUCGAGGCAGAACCAGGAUCAAAUUCGUGUUUGUACUCAGAGUACCUAGCACAGAGCCCAGUACCAGCUAGUGAACAAUAUUAGGGAUUCGGUCCAACUCAU